UACAGAGGUCUCAAGCGUUGUUCGGAUUCAUUGGGCGUAAAGGGUGUGUAGGUGGCGCCGUAAGUCGGGUGUGAAAUUUCGGAGCUUAACUCCGAAACUGCAUUCGAUACUGCGGUGCUUGAGGACUGGAGAGGAGACUGGAAUUCAUGGUGUAGCAGUGAAAUGCGUAGAGAUCAUAGGAAGACCAGUGGCGAAGGCGGGUCUCUGGACAGUUCCUGACGCUGAGGCACGAAGGCCAGGGGAGCAAACGGG
rnacentral:rRNA from 1 species